AGAAAAGUCUGGAAGUAAGUGUUUCUAUGCAUCCGGUGUGCGUCGCAAUUUUGUGAAAUAGGUCAAUCUACUUCAAUGGAUAGCUCAACUCAGCAAAGUACAAUGACAAUGGAUAAUUCAAACUAUCUUGAAGCAACUCUCUGAGCAAUAACUGAAAUCACAAAGGACGGCAUCCGAGUGAGGCGGCGAUGACAAGCAGCAGGACACAGAGGGACCAAGGAUGGAGAGACGCAAGGGCAGCAUAACGUGGAAAGCAGGGAGAUUGUACCUACUGCUGGUUAAGUUGCUCCUCUCUUUUGAUGUGUAUUUGAAAAACAAACACUGCGAGGGAAGACAGCGAUAAGUCAAAACACACGGUGAGUUUAUUUUCCUCUAAACCUACAUCCUGGUCAGCAACACCAGUUUGGGAAAAAGAAAGUUGGAACGUAAGCAUCAUAAUUCUCUAUGGAAAUGCUCAUAUCUUUAUCAUGAGGCACAUCAAUGAGAAACUUCUCAGCUAACACACGGAGCACACCAGAGGAGACGUGUCUGGUGCCACAGGGAGCACUGACCUUGAGCUCGGGUACAUUCCUGGUACCCAUUUUAAGGUUUUCCAUCAGCUGUCCAUCAUUCUGGACGGUAUGAGAAGCAUGCACAUGUACUGCUGCAGCUAAUACCUUUUCUUCAUGAAGGAGUUCAUCUCAACUUUUUAUGCUACACAAAGUCUACAGCAAAAAUAAAGUCUGUAAACAAAUAACAAGAACUGCUUUUCCUUACAUUUUUUCUAAAGUUUUUCAGGGGGUAUGUUAAAUUCCACUAAGUAUGAAACAACAUAAUACAGAAAUCAGCAAAGUGAAUGUAUGCUCUGGAAAA